AUCAACUAGAGGAGCUAACGAUCAUAGACAUUUUAUGCCUCAUGUUUGCUUUUAAGUUUUUGGAUUACUAACCUUAUCAUAAUUUGUCUUUGCUAGAACAGAUGCAAAAGCCUCUGAUAACUAUGAAUCCAUCACUUUUAAUUCAUAUCACAACUAUUCCACAACUUUAAUGAGAAACAUACUCCAUUAUGUCCACAAAUCAGAUUCAGCAUAAAACUUGCACAUCAAAUUCCUGUCAGAGGGGGUUUCCAUUCAGGACUUUCAUGUAUUUACUUCAACUGAAGCAUCUUUGACAUCUUCCAACAACAAUCUAAACUUUAGAGUCUUAUGAAGGCGGGCAACUGGCUUCACUUGCUUACUUGGAGCUUGAUUUGGAUCAAUUAUGCAUUUUCCUGAGAACAGGUUUGCUUCUGAUGGUCCUGUCUCCUCAUGAAGCACAGGGGGAGCUUCUUCUUCAGAGAAAACCAAACAUGUUCCUAUUGUUUCUUCAUAUUCUCCUAUCAGCUUCAAUUUGUCAUCUAUGAUCAGUAUUGGAUUCAAAGUAUCAAGACCAUAUAGAACAUAUGGUGCAUCUGGCGGAACGUCAACUUGCCCAGACACGGCAUCAAGAUCAAGUAGUACAUAUUCCUCUUCAUCCUCUGCAUGAACAUCGUGCAUCAAGUCUGCUUCCAUUACCUCCUCCUCCGCCUUCCUUUAGGCGUCCACUGGGUUGGAUUUGUAUAAAUUUCCAGAGUUUUUCAGAGAUUUUUCUGUGAACACGGGAAAAAAAAAAAGCUGAAGGUUGG
rnacentral:misc_RNA from 1 species